rnacentral:lncRNA from 1 species
UCGCACUCGAAUCUAUUUAAAUUAUUCGACCUCAUCCCUGGCUUGGAGUCUGUAUUUCCAGCCAAUAACCAUCGAAUGGGUUUCCGAAACGAAUACUCCUUUGUAGUUCAGUAUGCAUGGCCACAAAGUGCUGCCUAUGCUCGGGAGAAGCUCGAUGGAUUCGAAUACCCACCAGGGUACCCGGUUCUUAUCAAGCCAGAGUAUUACGAAGUCGAGAUCGAGACAUGAGCUUCGGGAGAAAUCAGAGGAAUAAUUUGCUGCCAGCUGACCCUGGAGUGUCUGCUGAUCAUUUACUCUCUAUUACAAAAGCACUGUCUCAGGCAACAGCAUUAUUAAAAGCAGCUGGACUCUCGACAGACGGAAUUGAGCUGAACGAUUUGCCUAAUCAGUACGGUUCUCUAAGGCUGCCUCCUCCUCAACCCCUUGCUCCUGCUGGGACAACUUCAGAAAUCAGGUUAUUUAUUGUAGCUCAACCUGCGUUGCCACCGAUGCAUAUAAUCCGAGAUAUAUUCUGCCGAUUCGGUCAUAUAACUGACAUCCAUGUUCUCCAUGGGAAAAAUUGCGGUUACGUCUCUUAUGCCAAAAAGACAGUGGAGCGAAUGCCAUCUUGCACUUGCACGGUCAAGAAAUCGGGCAGUCAAGGUUGA